rnacentral:rRNA from 1 species
CCUACGGGGGACAGCAGUGGGGAAUAUUGGGCAAUGGAGGCAACUCUUACCCAGCAAUGCCGCGUGAAUGAAGAAGGUCUUCGGAUUGUAAAGUUCUGUCAGCAGGGAAGAACGGUCACUGUGCUAAUCAGCAGUGAAUUGACGGUACCUGCAAAGGAAGCACCGGCUAACUCCGUGCCAGCAGCCGCGGUAAUACGGAGGGUGCGAGCGUUAAUCGGAAUUACUGGGCGUAAAGCGCUCGUAGGCGGUAUGUCAAGUCAAGGGUGAAAUCCCCGCGCUCAACGUGGGAACUGCCUUUGAAACUGGCAAACUGGAGUGUGUGAGAGGAUAGUGGAAUUCCAGGUGUAGGAGUGAAAUCCGUAGAUAUCUGGAGGAACAUCAGUGGCGAAGGCGACUAUCUGGCACAUAACUGACGCUGAGGAGCGAAAGCGUGGGUAGCAAACAGGAUUAGAUACCCGGGUAGUC